UCCUCAGUGCUGAGUCAGCAGCCGCCCUGACUCAGAAACUCGAAUUGUCCAUCCAGUGACCCCUCAGGCCUCACGGUCUCUGUUAGAACAUGAAAGGUGUCCAGCAGAUCCUCAGGGCCAUUCAGUUUUCAUCCCAUAUAUGUGGGGCUGUGCGUGCGAACUUACACACAUGCACCCACACUCACACAUACGUGCCCUGUCUCACCCCUACACACUCGCCGCUCAGACACAGCCAGUCAGUGUCAUUAAAAUGCCAGGCCAUGCCUCUGCCUCCUCGCAGAGCCCACGUGACCCUGCUGAUCAGAGGAGGCCACGAGUCCGGAGGGUGAGCCCUGGCAUCGGUCCACUGCUCUCCAUGGCAACCUGGCUGAUACCUGUUUUGAAUUCUGAAGUGUCUCACUGAUAGAACAUGAGCUGUAAGAAGAAAGAACACCCUUGCAAACCUGAUCAAAUCUCCCAUGCGGUCCUGAUGUCGCUGGUGGACGGAGGGACUAACAUCCAGGUUUGCAGAGGACCUUGUACUGGAGGUUGGGACUGAGGACUCCAGCAGGACAAGAGCACAUUUUUUCCCAUCCCAGUGAAGGAGAAAUUGAGAAAGCAAGAAGCCUGGCUGGUGGCAGUCCCUGGAGUCAAUGAGGUCAGUAGGCUCUGGUCACAGCAAGAAAGGGCUGAGCCCCGAGCAAGUGCCAGGUAACCAGAACACAGAAAUAUGCCUCCAUCCCAGCUGCGGGCAUUGCACAGGGCCGUGGGGCUCAGUGGCUUCUCUCUGAGCCCCUGUGAUUACUGUGCUUAGCAUGGGUCCCCUCCCCCCCUCCCCUGAGGUCCUGUCUGCACACCUCGCUGGCACUGAGGAUUUCAGACUGUCCUCGCCCUGGGUGAUGACCAUAGGGUGAACGACGACAACUCCCAUCCCUGUGAUGCUACGUUAUGUGAAUAUGUGGAUGGAUGUGUGCAUUUAGGAAACGUGUGCCUUAUAACCGCUCUAUGAUUAUUUUCUCCACUGUACAGAUGAGGAAACCGAGGCUUAGGGUAAGAAACUUGCUCAAGUGGUGGGGUUGGGAUUGGAACCCACGUCUGGCCUCAGAUCCCUGACUUGUAACCUCUACCAUAGCCCCAAAGGUCCUUCCCGUCUUUAGGGUCUGUGGUUCACUGGCCCCUCCCUACAUCCCCAGUGAAGACAAGCCUGGCCUUUGUGUGCCCGGUCUGACGGCAAGUCCUGGUUUUCUGGAAGAUCAUUUGGUGUCAGGACAGAAGACAGACAUUCAGGAGUCUGAGCACUAAUUUUCCUGGUUAUUCUGAAAAGGUGCAGUUUUCUCAUUGAAGACGCCCCAGAGGUCUGAUCUGAUUGUGGGCUGGUUUAAAAGUGCUUGCUCUGACCUCCAAGGACAUCUGCUGAUUGGCUGUCCAGCCACUCAGACCCCGCCGUGCGCCAGCGCUGGGCUAAGUGCUGCAUGAGGAUUUAUUCAUUUGAUGCUCACAACAGUUCUGUUUUAUUUCUAAAUUGGGAAACAGGCACAGAGCAGUAAUUAAGUUCAUUAGUAAGUGAGAGGGCUGAGAUUUGAACCCAGACUGCCUGGUGCCGGGGUCCAGGCUUCUAACUACUAUUCUGUGUGGCCCCCAAAAGAGCCCCAGGCUGUAAGUGCAGGGACUUUUGUGCGGGGGCAGGUGGAGCCUGUUUCUCUAAGGGUCCUGCAGGGCCCGCUGGGAAGGGCGGGUUGGCCGUGACUGUCUCUGCCGGGAGCCCCAUCCCUGACCCCUCCCACGAUCUGCUUCUUCUCCUCCUUCAGGACUCAGGUCCAAUGUCCCCUCCUCAUUCCCUGAGUCCCUAUUCAGGUACACCCCCGCCUGCCACUCCAUCACUUCAGCCUGGUUAAAGUUCUUCCCAGUACACGUCUCACUCUCUGGAAUUGUCUGCAGGGCUGCCUUGAUUUCUUGCUCAUUGUGUGUCUCCCGUCACGAGGGCAAGGUCUGGGCUGCACCCCCAGGGCCUGGAACUGUGCCCGGCACAGAGCACGGGCUCCCCAGCUCCUGUGGGAUGGAUGACAUGCGCGCGGAGAAAUCCCCAAGGUCACCCCCAACCUGCUCACUCGACAGAGGACGUGUGCCCUACCCCCCCCAGCUGCACUGCCACGUGGACACACAUCCUGGGCACACAUGACAUGGGCCGUCAGGGAGCCCAUGGACCCUCCAGCAAGAAUGAAGACGUCUGUGCCCAAGACUCAGCUCAGCCUCCAGAUCCUACUGCCUGUGGACGUCCCAAACCAACCAACCGCGGCCCUGCGCCCCUCAGAGGGACACUGAGCGGGGAGGUGGCGCGUGGACAGAACCCCUCCACACACACCUGUGCUGGGGGGAUGGAACAUAAACCGGGGAGGGGCAUGGCUCACCAUCCCCAGCCAGGACGAUGUUCAAUCCACCCCGUUUCGCGUGGCUUUUCUCCUCUGGAAAAAGUCCUGACAUCUCUUUUUUUUGGCUCUUUUAGUCUGAGGAGAGAUGAUGAGCCACGGGCUGUGGUGGAAUAAAAACCUGGGAGAUUUGCUCCCUCGUCACAUCCUGAGCUCAAACCAGGUGGCGUCCUUAGGGGCUGACAGUCGGUGGCG